GUGCUCACUUUGGCAGCACAUAUAUUAAAAUU
rnacentral:snRNA from 1 species